GAGGGUAUAGCUCAGGGGUGGAGCGCCUGCUUAACAUGCAGGAGGUCCUGGUUUCAAUCCUGAGUCCCUCC
rnacentral:tRNA from 1 species